CCUACGGGAGGCAGCAGUGGGGAAUAUUGCACAAUGGGGGAAACCCUGAUGCAGCGACGCCGCGUGAGUGAAGAAGUAUUUCGGUAUGUAAAGCUCUAUCAGCAGGGAAGAAAAUGACGGUACCUGAUUAAGAAGCCCCGUCUAACUACGUGCCAGCAGCCGCGGUAAUACGUAGGGGGCAAGCGUUAUCCGGAUUUACUGGGUGUAAAGGGAGCGUAGACGGCAGGACAAGUCUGGAGUGAAAUGCCGGGGCUUAACCACGGGACUGCUUUGGAAACUGUGCAGCUGGAGUGCAGGAGAGGUAAGUGGAAUUCCUAGUGUAGCGGUGAAAUGCGUAGAUAUUAGGAGGAACACCAGUGGCGAAGGCGGCUUACUGGACUGUAACUGACGUUGAGGCUCGAAAGCGUGGGGAGCAAACAGGAUUAGAUACCCCGGUAGUC
rnacentral:rRNA from 1 species